GGAAGCUGUCUCGUGCAGACUUGACCGAGUACUUCAGCACACAUUACAAGGCCCCUCGAAUGGUGCUGGCAGCAGCUGGAGGAGUGGAGCACCAGCAACUGUUAGACCUCGCCCAGAAGCACCUCGGUGGCAUCCCGUGGACGUACGCAGAGGACGCUGUGCCCACUCUUACUCCGUGCCGCUUCACUGGCAGUGAGAUCCGCCACCGUGACGAUGCUCUACCUUUUGCCCACGUGGCCAUUGCAGUAGAGGGUCCUGGCUGGGCCAGCCCGGACAAUGUGGCCUUGCAAGUGGCCAAUGCCAUCAUCGGCCACUAUGACUGCACUUAUGGUGGUGGCGUGCACCUGUCCAGCCCACUGGCUUCAGGUGCCGUGGCCAACAAGCUAUGCCAGAGUUUCCAGACCUUCAGCAUCUGCUAUGCAGAGACGGGCUUGCUGGGUGCACACUUUGUCUGUGACCGAAUGAAAAUCGAUGACAUGAUGUUCGUCCUGCAAGGGCAGUGGAUGCGCCUGUGUACCAGUGCCACGGAGAGUGAGGUGGCCCGGGGCAAAAACAUCCUCAGAAAUGCCCUGGUAUCUCAUCUAGAUGGCACUACUCCUGUGUGUGAGGACAUCGGACGCAG
rnacentral:sRNA from 1 species